GACGUAGGGUCCGAGCGUUGUCCGGAAUUACUGGGCGUAAAGCGCGCGCAGGCGGAUGGUCGCAUCAUCGGUGAAAGCCCCCCGCUUAACGGGGGAGGGUCCGGUGAGAUGGGCCGUCUGGAGGCAGGGAGAGGCGAGUGGAAUUCCGGGUGUAGUGGUGAAAUGCGUAGAGAUCCGGAGGAACACCAGUGGCGAAGGCGGCUCGCUGGACCUGACCUGACGCUGAGGCGCGAAGGCGUGGGGAGCGAACGGG
rnacentral:rRNA from 1 species